rnacentral:rRNA from 1 species
AUUGAACGCUGGCGGCAGGCCUAACACAUGCAAGUCGAGCGGAUGAAGGGAGCUUGCUCCUGGAUUCAGCGGCGGACGGGUGAGUAAUGCCUAGGAAUCUGCCUGGUAUUGGGGGAUAACGUCCGGAAACGGGCGCUAAUACCGCAUACGUCCUGAGGUAGAAAGUGGGGGAUCUUCGGACCUCACGCUAUCAGAUGAGCCUAGGUCGGAUUAGCUAGUUGGUGGGGUAAAGGCCUACCAAGGCGACGAUCCGUAACUGGUCUGAGAGGAUGAUCAGUCACACUGGAACUGAGACACGGUCCAGACUCCUACGGGAGGCAGCAGUGGGGAAUAUUGGACAAUGGGCGAAAGCCUGAUCCAGCCAUGCCGCGUGUGUGAAGAAGGUCUUCGGAUUGUAAAGCACUUUAAGUUGGGAGGAAGGGCAGUAAGUUAAUACCUUGCUGUUUUGACGUUACCAAAAGAAUAAGCACCGGCUAACUUCGUG